UUCUUAAGUAUGUCUUUAAUCGUCGAAGGCACGAAAAAGAUCUUUCAGCCGACGCUGUCGUAACCGGCAAUGUAGCAAGCAACUAAAAUGAGCCAUCAUUGCUGCCAAAGCAGUUCUUGGACAUAGCUGUUGGUCAACACCAGCCCACUUCGCCGCCCACAAUCGUGAUUCGGCCAUUACAACAGCACUGUUGUCUAGGUCUUCUUGGUACGUGCGGAUAAUAUCCAUGAACCCCUUUUCACCCACGUGAGAGUUAUCUAAAUUGCAAGGAGUUAUACAUUACGUUCACCAAGCGUUGCCUUCAAAAAUGGCUUGAACACGUGAUCGUGGUAGUGCAUUUCUGGCUCCAGCACAGAAGAUCGUGAACCAAAUCUUGUAUGGUUGGAGACACCGAGGUUGGCGGCCAAGCUUAAGCAACAUUCAUACAACGUAUGAAAUUCAUUGACGGAGUUCGUGACCAUGCUUUCAAACACACCAGAAACAUCACUGACCAUUUGAAAACAUCCCACAAUGUCGCAGUUUUCGGUUUGAAGGCUUCUCGACAAGCUCAGGGUAACCGCAAACCUGUUACGCCACAUGUUUCCAAUUCCCCAAGAGCGUGUACAACUGGAGACAGCAUCUCGACAAACAAAAUGACAGCAUCGUGUCGUUCAA